rnacentral:lncRNA from 1 species
AUGAUUCUGAAUAUCAGUUUACUCAAGUAUAUUCUCCAAAGUGGGAAUAACCUUUGUGAAUCACUGGAAGAUGUGAAUAAAAUCAUGUGGUAGGCAGUUUGAUGCAAUGGAAAUUCAUGGCUUUGAGUCACAGAGGUCUUUCCUUGUGGUUUUGAGAAAACCACUUAACUUAUCUGAACCUCAAUAUCCUGACUUCUAAAAUAGAAAUAAACAGGUCAGUAUGAGAAUU